GGCAGAGCAGCGAUCUGCUGGGGUGGAUCCUGGUUGCCUUGGGCCUCGCCUUGUGCUUCUACACCGUCUACUCCUCCACCUUCGACGACGACGACCAGUCCGGCGGCGGCGGCAUCACGCUCUGAACACCACCAUCUUUUCCUUCUGUCAUCUCAAAUCAAAUUAAAAUAAUACCGUCCAUGAUUUGUAUAGCCCUGUCAGUAACAAGGGCGCUCGUUUCGCUUCUAAUCAAACGAGUGGGGUGGUGGCGCGGUUGGCUAGCGCGUAGGUCUCAUAGCUAUCAUUUACGUGAGUGAUUCUGAGGUCGAGACUUCAUCGUUGUGAUGAAAGGCUCUAAGGCAACUUGGGUCGCCGCAUCUCUACCUGAAUCUUCAGUGUGAAAAUAACAAGUCUGAACCUGGUCUUUAAUUGUUUU
rnacentral:lncRNA from 1 species